rnacentral:rRNA from 1 species
AUGGCUGUCGUCAGCUCGUGUCGUGAGAUGUUGGGUUAAGUCCCGCAACGAGCGCAACCCUUGUCAUUAGUUGCCAGCAUUGAGUUGGGCACUCUAAUGAGACUGCCGGUGACAAACCGGAGGAAGGUGGGGAUGACGUCAAGUCCUCAUGGCCCUCAUGGGUAGGGCUUCACACGUCAUACAAUGGUCGGUACAGAGGGUAGCCAAGCCGCGAGGUGGAGCCAAUCCCAGAAAGCCGAUCGUAGUCCGGAUCGCAGUCUGCAACUCGACUGCGUGAAGUCGGAAUCGCUAGUAAUCGCGGAUCAGCAUGUCGCGGUGAAUACGUUCCCGGGUCUUGUACACACCGCCCGU